UACGUAGGGGGCAAGCGUUAUCCGGAUUUACUGGGUGUAAAGGGAGCGUAGACGGCGCGGCAAGUCUGAAGUGAAAGGCAGGGGCUUAACCCCUGAACUGCUUUGGAAACUGCCAUGCUAGAGUGCUGGAGAGGUAAGUGGAAUUCCUAGUGUAGCGGUGGAAUGCGUAGAUAUUAGGAGGAACACCAGUGGCGAAGGCGAAUUGCUGGACUGUAACUGACACUGAGGCACGAAAGCGUGGGGAGCAAACAGG
rnacentral:rRNA from 1 species